rnacentral:rRNA from 1 species
AACGAACGCUGGCGGCAUGCUUAACACAUGCAAGUCGAACGAGACCUUCGGGUCUAGUGGCGCACGGGUGCGUACCGCGUGGGAACCUGCCCUUAGGUUAGGAAUAACUCCCUGAAAGGGGUGCUAAUAACGCAUAAUGUCUUCGGACCAAAGAUUUAUCGCCUUUGGAUGGGCCCGCGUUGGUUUAGCCAGUUGGUAGGGUAAAAGCCUACCAUGGCGACGUUCCAUAGCUGGUCGGUGAGGAUGAUCAGCCGCACUGGGACUGAGACACGGCCCAGACUGCGACGGGGGGCAGCAGAGGGGAAUAUUGGACGAGGGACGAAAGCCUGGUCCAGCAGUGCCGCGUGAGUGAGGAAGGCCUUAGGAUUGUAAAGCUCUUUUACCCGGAAUGAUAAUGACGGUACCGGGAGAAUAAGCACCGGCUAACUCCGUG